ACUUUGCAAUGUGCGAAAGCACGACAAGGUUAAUCCGAGUGGUUUCUGCUAAAGGAACCUUUUGUCAGUCCUAGAAACACUAACGAAUAAGGGGUGGGCAAGUUCUGGUGUCAGCCGCCGCGGUAAAACCAGCGCCUCAAGUGGUCAGGAUGAUUAUUGGGCCUAAAGCAUCCGUAGCCGGCUCUGUAAGUUUUCGGUUAAAUCUGUACGCUUAACGUACAGGCUGCCGGGAAUACUGCAGAGCUAGGGAGUGGGAGAGGUAGGCGGUACUCGGUAGGAAGGGGUAAAAUCCUUUGAUCUAUUGAUGACCACCUGUGGCGAAGGCGGUCUACCAGAACACGUCCGACGGUGAGGGAUGAAAGCGUGGGGGAGCAAACCGGG
rnacentral:rRNA from 1 species